rnacentral:rRNA from 1 species
CUUACUGGAAAGGUAAAAAAGUUCGUAACAAGGGUUUCCGUAAGGUGAACCCUGCGGAGGAUCAAUAAUGGUUAACCGCCCUUCCGGGCACAAUCCCCACCCUUGGUAAACUGCGGGCCCGGGAUUCGCCGCCUGGCGGGGAGCCCCCCUCCUGUUCGCCGGAGGGCCCCCGCCUGCCGGGAAUUAGCCAACCCUGCCUAGAAAAAUUGAAGUCUGAGAACAAAGUUUAAAUUAAACAAAACUUUCAACAACGGAUCUCUUGGUUCUGGCAACGAUGAAGAACGCAGCGAAAUGCGAUAAGUAAUGUGAAUUGCAGAAUUCAGUGAAUCAUCGAAUCUUUGAACGCACAUUGCGCCCCCUGGUAUUCCGGGGGGCACACCUGUUCGAGCGCCAUUUCUACCCUAGAGCCCUGCUCUGUGAUGGGCCUCGUCCUCGCGGACGGGCCCGAAACCCGUGGGCGCCGUCGUCCGGCCCUGAGCGUAGCAAGAGAAAUCCCUCGCUCGGAGUGUCUGAUGGUGGCCGCCCCGACCUAUUUUUACAAGGUUGGCCUCGGAUCAGGUGGGGAUACCCGCUGAACUUAAGCAUAUCAAUAA